ensembl:snoRNA
AAGCCAGUCAAUUAAUCUUAUCUGAAUGUGAUUCUGCAGAAAUUUCAGAACAGCUGGCAAUAACAAUGCUAUUUUAUGAGUCUUCAGGAAACUGAGGUCAUUAUGGGCCCUCAAAAUGGAUACAACC